UUUACAGUCAUACCACCCUAAACACAUGACCUCAUCUGAUCUCAGAAAAUAAGUAGGGUCGAGCCUGGUUAGUACUUGGAUGGGAGAAUGAGUGGUAGCCCCAACAGUUCUGAUAUAU
rnacentral:rRNA from 1 species